UUCACGCCAGCCCCCGUUCUCCCUAGCCAUCUGUGUCCCACACUACCCUGUGCCUUAACUCUAGUGCGGCUGUGGGGCCAGGCUGAGGGCGGAUGCUGAACUAGAGCUGCUUCCAGGAGCAGGCUUCGUGGAGGACCGUCUUCCCUCUCCAGGUAGACCAAGAAGGAGCAGGCCAGGGGCCAGGACAGGCUCGAGGACAGAGAGAAAGCAGACCUGGCCCCUUUCAGAAUCACGCAGAGGUCUGCGAGGGAACAGGGCAGAUGGAGAGGACAGCCUGGAAAGACCAAGUCAGAGCACGCGGACGAGUCUGUAAGCUAGAACCCAAACAACAGCAUCUGAAACACUGCGGUCUCAAAGAAGAGAUGAGAAAUACAAGUAUUUAAAGAAGCAACAUCACAAGGAUUUCUCAGGCCUUGUGGUAGACCUAUCGGAAGUGCUUUGCCCAGCCACCUACUGGUCCUAAGCCUCUGUCUAGAGCUGCUCAAGAGAACAACAUGGAUGGACCAUUCUUGUUCUUCCUGCCCUUGUUCAUGGGGGUAGGCGGGGGAUCAGCAGGGCUGGCUGGAAGGAAAAAAAAAGAAAACCCACAGAGUGUGGAAAAGGGAAGUGAAGAAGAAAAUGUGCUCCCUGUGGGACAGAUGGGUUUCCAAUGUAGUCCUAGUGACUUGGAAAACUGGGAAACAAGGAUUCAGAAACAAAAUCUCAGUGGGCCCAAUGUUGGACAUGUCAGGCGUCCAAGAGCAUCAAGAGCAUCUGGCAUCUCUGGGGUGCCCGGGUGGCUCAGCCGGUUGAGCAUCCGACUUUGGCUCAAGUCAUGGCUUAAGUUUGU